rnacentral:rRNA from 1 species
UACGAAGGGGGCUAGCGUUGCUCGGAAUCACUGGGCGUAAAGGGUGCGUAGGCGGGUCUUUAAGUCAGGGGUGAAAUCCUGGAGCUCAACUCCAGAACUGCCUUUGAUACUGAGGAUCUUGAGUUCGGGAGAGGUGAGUGGAACUGCGAGUGUAGAGGUGAAAUUCGUAGAUAUUCGCAAGAACACCAGUGGCGAAGGCGGCUCACUGGCCCGAUACUGACGCUGAGGCACGAAAAGUGUGGGGAUCAAACAGG